GUUGGGUAGGGGAGCGUUCUGUAAGCCUGCGAAGGUGGCCUGUGAGGGUUGCUGGAGGUAUCAGAAGUGCGAAUGCUGACAUAAGUAACGAUAAAGCGGGUGAAAAGCCCGCUCGCCGGAAGACCAAGGGUUCCUGUCCAACGUUAAUCGGGGCAGGGUGAGUCGACCCCUAAGGCGAGGCCGAAAGGCGUAGUCGAUGGGAAACGGGUUAAUAUUCCCGUACUUGGUGUUACUGCGAAGGGGGGACGGAGAAGGCUAUGUUGGCCGGGCGACGGUUGUCCCGGUUUAAGCGUGUAGGCUGGUUUUCCAGGCAAAUCCGGAAAAUCAAGGCUGAGGCGUGAUGACGAGGCACUACGGUGCUGAAGCAACAAAUGCCCUGCUUCCAGGAAAAGCCUCUAAGCAUCAGGUAACAUCAAAUCGUACCCCAAACCGACACAGGUGGUCAGGUAGAGAAUACCAAGGCGCUUGAGAGAACUCGGGUGAAGGAACUAGGCAAAAUGGUGCCGUAACUUCGGGAGAAGGCACGCUGACACGUAGGUGAAGUGAUUUACUCAUGGAGCUGAAGUCAGUCGAAGAUACCAGCUGGCUGCAACUGUUUAUUAAAAACACAGCACUGUGCAAACACGAAAGUGGACGUAUACGGUGUGACGCCUGCCCGGUGCCGGAAGGUUAAUUGAUGGGGUCAGCGCAAGCGAAGCUCCUGAUCGAAGCCCCGGUAAACGGCGGCCGUAACUAUAACGGUCCUAAGGUAGCGAAAUUCCUUGUCGGGUAAGUUCCGACCUGCACGAAUGGCGUAAUGAUGGCCAGGCUGUCUCCACCCGAGACUCAGUGAAAUUGAACUCGCUGUGAAGAUGCAGUGUACCCGCGGCAAGACGGAAAGACCCCGUGAACCUUUACUAUAGCUUGACACUGAACAUUGAGCCUUGAUGUGUAGGAUAGGUGGGAGGCUUUGAAGUGUGGACGCCAGUCUGCAUGGAGCCAACCUUGAAAUACCACCCUUUAAUGUUUGAUGUUCUAACGUGGACCCGUUACCCGGGUUGCGGACAGUGUCUGGUGGGUAGUUUGACUGGGGCGGUCUCCUCCUAAAGAGUAACGGAGGAGCACGAAGGUUGGCUAAUCCUGGUCGGACAUCAGGAGGUUAGUGCAAUGGCAUAAGCCAGCUUGACUGCGAGCGUGACGGCGCGAGCAGGUGCGAAAGCAGGUCAUAGUGAUCCGGUGGUUCUGAAUGGAAGGGCCAUCGCUCAACGGAUAAAAGGUACUCCGGGGAUAACAGGCUGAUACCGCCCAAGAGUUCAUAUCGACGGCGGUGUUUGGCACCUCGAUGUCGGCUCAUCACAUCCUGGGGCUGAAGUAGGUCCCAAGGGUAUGGCUGUUCGCCAUUUAAAGUGGUACGCGAGCUGGGUUUAGAACGUCGUGAGACAGUUCGGUCCCUAUCUGCCGUGGGCGCUGGAGAACUGAGGGGGGCUGCUCCUAGUACGAGAGGACCGGAGUGGACGCAUCACUGGUGUUCGGGUUGUCAUGCCAAUGGCACUGCCCGGUAGCUAAAUGCGGAAGAGAUAAGUGCUGAAAGCAUCUAAGCACGAAACUUGCCCCGAGAUGAGUUCU
rnacentral:rRNA from 1 species